AGCAGUAUGGUGUAUGGCAGCCCGCGGGAUCAUCUUAAAAAGGCAUGUGUUGUAUCAAUUCCCGAAGUUCUUGUUCGAUUCAAGGUACUGCUC